ensembl:lncRNA
UGACAGUCCUCCCUUGUGCAACUCUUUGUCCUGUCUCUUUGUUUUUCAUUUCAUUCUUCUCACACCCCACUCUGGUUACUGUUCAACAGGUAGGCUGGUCCUGACAGAUUUAUUACCAAUUUUCUAAGAAACUGCCGUAUUGAUCUCCAAAGUGACUGUACACAUUUGCACUCCCACCAGCAAAGGAGGUACGUUUCCCUUGCCACACAUCCUCUCCAGCAUAUGCUGUCAGUGUUUUUGAUCUUAGCCAUUUUGACCUGUGUAAGAUGGAAUCUCAGAGUCAUUUUAAUUUGCAUUUUCCUGGUGGCUAAGAAUAUUGAACAUUUCUUUAACUGUUUCCGUGGGGAAGGCACUCCUUUAUCUGGGCCACACCUUCUGCUGGAAGCCUAUGUAAGGACAAUGGAAGAAGGGAGAGUGUGUUCUUCCUUUGCCUGCUUUGUCAGCACCUUCACUGACAUUGGAGCCUACUUCUCCGAGAUUCCAGCAUUACAAAAGUGGAACUGAGCAACUACUAGACUCUUGAACUUUCCAUUCACAGAUAGCUAUUGUUGGACUACAGCCUCAGCAUGGACUGAGACAACUUAGAGUGCCCUCUUUGAAGAGAAGUAGCCUUGACCUACUUGGAGUUGCUUUUGCUAGGAAUCCACACCCAUCACCACCAGUAUCUUAACCAGUUGCAUCUUCCAGGAACAAAAAGCCGCCCAUCACAGGAAGCCUGCUUUUGUUUCACUUAUCGACUGUGUCCCUCUCACUCUCCUUCAGUUCCAACUUUCUUGACUGCCUGCACUGGAUGUAUCAGUCUGGGCUUGAAGCCUGUGUUUACAUGGAUCCAUCUAAACCAACUGUCCUAUCCCUAGAACUAAAAUUGCCUGAAACCUAACAGUAAAGGGCUUUACACUUCAUGAAAUGUUUUCAAAAACACUUAUCUAAUCCUUCUGGGGAAGGAUGGGGCUUGAUCUAUGCCUGUUGUGAUGAUUCAAUUAUCAACAACACAGUCUAGAACCACUGAGCAAAGGAUCCUCAGUGAUGCAGUGUCCAGAUCUCAUUGAGCUUCGGGCAUUUCUGUGGAGUUACCUUGAUUGCAUUAAAUGGGGUAAGAAGACCCAUCACUGCAGGUGGCGCCAGCCCUUAGGCAGAAGAUUCUGAACUGUGUGAAAAUGGAGAGUUCAAGCUGCUCACUACCAUAUGUGUGUUAAUCCUUUGCUCUCUACUCUAUGGACAUAAAGUGACCAGUUCUCUGGAGUCCCUGCCUGUGCGACUUCUCAGCCAUGGUGUACUAUAACCUGCAACUAUGGACCAAAUAAAAUUUUUCUCCUUUAAGUUUCUUUUGUCAGAAUAUUUUACCACAGUAACAGGAAAAAAAAAAAAAAACUAGGACACCAGCUAAAGCCACUCGUGUAUUUUGAGUGGGGACAAGGGGACAGAGUACGGACAGAUUAAUCCUCUCUUUCCUCUGUGGUGAGAAGCCAGAGAAGCCAUCUCCAGAUAAUAUUCGGCAGACAGAAAGGAGCCAGAGCUACUCAGAGGAUCAACAAGAGAGUCUUCAAGCUGAAGAUAGGUGAUAAAUUAUAGAAGAAGCUGAUUGAAUUGUGCCAGAGAGCUUUGCUUUUUGGUUUUGUUCUUUUUCCAAAAAGUAUCUUCAGUGAUUUUGUAGGUGAUGAAGCUAGACCUGGAAACUUGAUCCCCACUGGCUCCUACACGUAGGCUUUGACUUACAAGCCCCACUUUGACUGUAGGCUGGUGAACCAGGGUCAUGCUGCCUUAGAGACAAAACAACCAAGUCUUUUGAGAACCACAAACCACCUUCCAGCCAAGGAAAUAAGGCUUUGCGGUUACUGUAUCUCUUAGUCGAAACAGGAGGGGAAAGGAAGCAGCUAGAGAAGAAAUCCAGAAGAUUUUGCCUCUUUCAUUUCCAUCCAUGACCUCUUUAAGUGCUUAAGAUACUCGAUGAGGGAGUGUGGCAAGAAUCAGAAGCCUUCCGAGAGAAGCAGGGGGCGGGAGAGUGAAUUCAAAACAGUUGCAUAGGCCUAGUGAAACAGACCCACCCAAAGGAAAUAGGAUAAUAUCUAAAUAAAUUAGCUUAAUCAGGAUUAAUUCUGUUUAUUAACAAGCAGAAGUGUUGUAAAAGCCAAGGAAGCAGUGGUCUGUAUCCAAUUAGGGCAGGUGACCUUCUGGGAAAAGUGAGCCAAGGUGAAGUUGGUCCUCAAAGUAAGGGGGAGCAGAACUAACACAGCUUCAGCAAUUUCUUCUCCUGCUUAAAAAAAAAUGAAAUGUAUUUGCAAGACUGUGGAAGUUUACAUUUAAACACAAUGGGAUCUAAAAUAGUAAUAGCUGGCACUACACACACACACACAGACAGACACACACACACACACAGACAGAC